GCGCUGUCUCAUGACUUGAGGAAACUUAUCUAUUCUGAGAAACUCACAGUUAUUUAUCCCUAUAAUAAUUACUCAUUUCUAACAUAAGACAGAGUCAUCAGGGAUGCGCGUCUUGCUGCAGUGAUUCAUUUCUUUCUUUCAUGAGGAUUAAGUGCCCUACUGGACAAAGUACAACGCAAGGAAUCAAGGCUUCUAGACACCACCGGAUGAGUCAAGGUACCGUGGCCCAGACAAACUAAGCACUGGUUCUGUCACCACAUAGACACAAAGGCAUUCAAGAAACCACAGCCCUCUGGCUUUGUUGCUCCUUCCUUCAUAAUCAAAUCAACAGAGUGUGUUUGUAGAAUUCACCCACAACACAAACAGAUGCCGCGAAACACCUUGGAGCGGUUGGCCGGCAGAAAUGCCCACUGAGCGGGCUGUGAUUCACUCGGGAGGAGGAAGGCCUCGGAGGGCAGCCAAUCGAAGACGGACCCAGGGAAAAGUCGCUGGGUUCUUACAGGAAGCGAUCUAAUUAUGUUACUGUAAUCCUCAAGCUCGCAUUUUUCAGCCACCUCAACACGAACUCACAGACUUCAACGAUUAUGUAAUUACGGAAAACUUCACAACAAACAUGAAGAUUCCUUCUGGAGGCCACAUUGAAGACCGGGAUGUGCAUUAGAGCGUGGGAGGGAAGCACGCAGCUCACAAAAGGAAGAGCAAAGAGAUGUAUUGAACUUAAAAGGUUACAUUUGAAAAGGGGCCCCUACCAGACCUCCCCUUUUGUGUGCACAUUUUUUGCACCUGCAACUGUUUGCGGGCUCGAAAGCAAUAGCCCUCCCCCUUCUCCCAAGAGGCCACGCUUUCAUGCCUUGGCCCCAAAUGUGUCAUUUUCCUGCCAGGGGGAGAAAUCAAAAGAAACCAAGUUUUUAGAACUUUGCUGUAAAGAAAAUAAUAGUUUUGAAAAGGAUUGGAGCCACAUUUUCAGGUUAGACACAGUUGUUAGAGAAAUGUCAGAAGGAAAACGUUCCUCUUCACUUUCUUUCCUAGCUCGUUGAAGUUCUUCAUUUCACUGGGUUCUGGGUGACAUCUGUAGCAUCCAUUUCAGCGCAGUCUGCAGCAGGCUUUUGACUCCACAGCAUGUAACUGUCCUCAGACCACCGUGUUCAAAGUCGAGAUUCCAAAUGGACCUUCCUGACUCUUCACAGAGAAGAUGCCAUAUAAAUCAUUUCCAUUAAAACAAACCUUUGAUACCACCAGCGAAUUGUGGAAUUUUGAUAAUGAUGCUUGUGAAUGAAGUGCUGACAAAUGGUCUUGCUUUAGAUGGUGUUUGUGGGUGGGGCUUGGGUUAGAGCCAGGAUCAACCUUGAUUUUGGCCACUGAUCCAUUUCCUCUCUCCCCACCACCCACCUCAUAUGUUGAGAUGAAAGUUACAGCAGAAAGCCUCUUUUGAACCAUUAUGAACAAUUCUAUUCAAAGCAGCAUCUGUGAAUUUUUAUAAGACUGGCCAAGAUUGGCUCAAUUAUUUCUCCAUUCUCUCCAGGGGAUAGAAAGUUUCCAAUCAAGGGUUACAAUGGAAGCAAAAAUGUUAUGUUCAUGGGAGGUAGAAUGCAUUGCUAAAUAGAUGGAAGACAAAAUAAAGUUCCUCAGUAUACAUAAUAGCUCAAGGAUGAACUUGGUUGAACAGAUUAGAGGAACAGAUGCAGAUAAAAUAAACUUCUCUCUCUUUGGUUUAACUUGGGAGACUGAGGAUUUUCUAUAUGGUACAAACCUUGAUGAAUGUUGAGGAUAUAGGGGUUCUCAUAUAUCUUAUAAUAUACUAGUGAGUCAUCUGGUGAGAUGGCUGGAAGUUUUUUUUUUAAGUAGAUAUAAUCUCAUAAGUGAGGAGAAAAUAAAUCAUUGUCUCAGCUAGAGAGAGUGAUCCUUUUGAACCCUUAUAUGGUUCAAUCUCAUUUUAACAUUUUUGAAGCAGGUAGGUUUGGGAUUUCUGGUUCCUGUAAAGCAAAGCCCAUGAUGGUUCUUUGAUUCAGUUGUCUCCUGGGGAAAAUGAGGGAAGAAGGUUUAAGUGGUUUGUUAUCAGUGGCUACUGAAUUACACCUUUUACACCAUUACUUUUUUUAUUUAUAUUUAUUUAUUUUUAUUUUUUGAGAUGGAGUUUUGCUCUUGUUGCCCAGGCUGGAGUGCAAUGGCACGAUCUCGGCUCAGCACAACCUCCGCCUCCCAGGUUCAAGCGAUUCUCCUGCCUCAGCCUCCCGAGAAGUUGGGAUUACAUACACCAUUACUUUUAACGACAAAACCAGCAACUACUUUUGCACCAGUCCAAUAUAUGGAGGGAUUUACUGAU
rnacentral:lncRNA from 1 species